GGCGGGGGAGCACUACAAGGGGUGCGGCGUGCGGUUUAAUCUAACUCAACGCAGAGAAUCUCACCAGAAGCGACGGCAGAAUGAAGGUCAGGCUAAAGACCUUACCAGACGAGCCGAGAGGUAGUGCAUGGCCGUCGUCAGCUCGUGCUGUGAAGUGUCCUGUUAAGUCAGGCAACGAGCGAGACCUGUACCCAUAAUUGCUAACAACCUAUGGAAUUGAGCACAUUGUGGGAACUGCCUUGAAAACAGGAGGAAGGUGCAGGCUACGAUAGGUCUGUAUGCUCCGAAUCUCUUGGGAUACACGCGCGCAACAAUGGUAGGGACAAUGGGAUACGACUCCGAAAGGAGAAGUUAAUCCUCUAAACCCUAUCUAAGUCCGGAUUGAGGAUUGUAACUCAUCCUCAUGACGCUGGAAUCUCUAGUAAUCGGACGUUAUCAUCGUCCGGUGAAUAUGUCCCUGCUCCUUGCACACACCGCCCGUCAAACCAACCGAGCAGGGUUUAGGUGAGUAUUGGGCCUUUACCUAAUCCGAACCUAAGCUCAGUGAGGUGGGUUAAGUCGUCACAAGGUAGCCGUAGGGGAACCUGCGGCUGGAUCACCUCCU
rnacentral:rRNA from 1 species